AGUGAACGCUGGCGGUAGGCCUAACACAUGCAAGUCGAACGGCAGCACAGUAAGAGCUUGCUCUUACGGGUGGCGAGUGGCGGACGGGUGAGGAAUACAUCGGAAUCUACUUUUUCGUGGGGGAUAACGUAGGGAAACUUACGCUAAUACCGCAUACGACCUACGGGUGAAAGCAGGGGAUCUUCGGACCUUGCGCGAUUGAAUGAGCCGAUGUCGGAUUAGCUAGUUGGCGGGGUAAAGGCCCACCAAGGCGACGAUCCGUAGCUGGUCUGAGAGGAUGAUCAGCCACACUGGAACUGAGACACGGUCCAGACUCCUACGGGAGGCAGCAGUGGGAAAUAUUGGACAAUGGGCGCAAGCCUGAUCCAGCCAUACCGCGUGGGUGAAGAAGGCCUUCGGGUUGUAAAGCCCUUUUGUUGGGAAAGAAAAGCAGCAGGUUAAGACCCCGCUGUUCUGACGGUACCCAAAGAAUAAGCACCGGCUAACUUCGU
rnacentral:rRNA from 1 species